ACCACCCCUCCCUAUCAAAUUUUGACAACACAUCACCAUCCCUUACCCUACCCCACCCCCUUAUCCUUACCCGCGUACACCCCUCCCUCACAUUUUCUCUUCUUCUUGGGGAAUAUAUACACAUGACAACAAUACAAUUAAGGGGGAGGGCACAACAAUAUACAUACACUCACAGGAUUCCAUCAUCUUUCAUUUUUUGAUGACAAUAUACACACACACGUAAGAUGUACAGAGCUUCCUCACCAUUUCGUCUCUCAAUACAUACAAACACCUCAUACACGCACAUACCCCUCAAUUCACCAAUACACAGUUCCCACAGCCCACAUUACACAGAUUACACUCGCAGUAAUUCUCACACACACACACUGAAAAUUGGAGGGAGAUUGAGAGUGAAGAGAGAGAUUGAGAAAGACAGUGAUUGGAAAUCUGAGAGGAGAGAGGAAACAGACGUCGAAUGACACUAUUUCGGCGAGAACCCGCCAAAAAAGGUUGAAAACUCGGCUGAUUCACCAAUUCCCAUCGCUACUAGAGCUCACUGAAGCUCCGGCAAAAUAAUAACAACAAAACAUCCCUCUCCCGUCCCCGUCUUCGGUAAAUUCAUCGGAGAACAAAUUCCAAAUCUACCUGACCAGUCCCAGAUUCGGCGGAAAUUGUCAAAAAAUGAACGAAGCAGUAGUGGGGUGUGCAAAUUCGAGUACGGGUCUUUUGUUAUUUUCUUGAUUUUGAUCUAGGUUGGCGAAAAACAGAGAAAAAGGGUAUAUCGUGGUCGGGUUUAUUAGUGGAGGUUUGAAUUGAGGUUUUUCGGGCGCGCUUCUAUCUUCGAUAUAUCAAAAUCGACAAUUGAGGUCCAAUUCUUCUCUUUUCCUCUUUUUAUUUCAUUGUUUAUUAUAUUUGGUGUGUUGGAUUAAAUAUCAUGUGUUGUUUGAUCCUUGUUGGUGAUGAAUAGUGUCUUGGUAUCGAUUGAUUGUUGAUUUCGUUGAUUAUGUAUGAUGCGAUGAAACGAUAUAAUCACUUGAGAUUUGAAAUCUGUAAUUUGAGUAUAGAAUUGGGGGUGGGAAUUAAAAGAUUAAUAAGGUGCAUGUUGAUUAUUUUUAUUCAUUGAUGGAUAUGGUUGAAAUCGAUAGUAUCAUAUUUUAGAUCGUUUAAUGGGUAGACAAAUACUAAGUUUGGGUAGGCAAAUUAUAGAAAUAGAAGAUGAUGAUUUGUUGAAUGUGUGGAUGUCUUGUUGAAUGGUUCUUUCUAUUUUCAACGCACAAAAUUGAAAAAAUGUAUUCAUUUGACCGGAGAAUGCACCGAGGUCUUAUGUACUUAUUCAUUGGGGAAUACCUCAAAGCAUCUUGUACUCGAAGAGCAUUCGUGAUGAAGGUCCGAGGCAUUGGGUAAAGCAUAGAAAUGUAGUUUAGGAUUAGUAAGUAGGUUUACAUUUCCAUAUUUUUCUAUUUUUGGAACUGUAAUAAUUGGGAUGAAAACUAUAUACUUGUUUUGUUUUGUUUAUUUGAUUGAUUGUUUUGUGUGUUUUAUGUAAUUUAUACAUUCAUAGUGUCAAAUUAGCCGAUAUGCUCCACCAAACGAAUAUGGUCGAACCACGGGAUCGAGGGGUGCCUAACACCUUUCCCUCGGUCAACAGAAUUCCUUAAUCGAAAUCUCUAUUCGUGGAUCAGUUUUAAAGAGUCAAAAUCAUUUUCAAAAAGGAUAUCCAAGGGUGACUUGGCACAGCCGAUUUAUGCCAAGUGCCGACUCUGAGUUUUGAAUAUAAAAAGUUAUUUUCGAAACAAAUCUUCAUUUUGUCACUUAAUAAUAAAACCCUUUUUCAAACCUUAAAUUAAUUCUUUUUUGUUAAUAAAAGGGUGUGACUGCUCUGGCGACUCUGCUGGGGACAUUUUCAGUAGUCGAGCUUAUUUUUGAUAUUGUAUCGGCUUAGUUUAACAUUAUGAUUGUAUAGACGUUGUUUGCGAUAUUGUUUGUACACCCUCCAUCCCAAAUUAUAUGUCGCCAUUUUCUUUUCGGUCCGUCCCAAAAAGAAUGUCGCCUUUCCUUAUUAGGUAAGUUCUUAAAGACACAAUUACAAUUUUACCCUUAGUGGUCCUACUUGAUUUUAAAUACUAUUACUCAUUUUUUAUUUGUUUUUUCAAUUAAAAGUGGCCCAGCUUGAUUUUAAAUACUAUUACUAUAAUUUUGUAACUUUAACAAAGUCAACACUUAUUUCUUAAAUAUUGUGUCCGGUCAAAUAACGACAUAUAACUUGAGAUGGAGGGAGUAUUUAUUUUAUCAUUGUUAAUUGCCUACUUGCUACGUUUUUAUAGUUUUUACUCUUAUGUGUUACCGCUUUAUAUCUGACAUCAUUUGUAUAACCCGAGUCAAUUUUUUCUGCAACAAGUCUCGGAGUACACGUUGUGUACACGAACUCUAGUUGAGUCACCCUUAUUGUAGGAGGGGGACCCGUCAGAUGUAUGGAGUAGGUGGAAAGCAAAGCAACCACUAUUGACCAUAUGCUCCUUGAACGUCCUUGUCAGUGGACCCCAACGUAGGUCAGCCUUUAGAUCAUGCUUAUCUACAUCAUAUUGAGACCUAGCGGGACCUACUUGAUCCUUUGUAAGAGACUCGCCCAUAAAGCAUCUCUACGUGCUAAUUGUUGCAUCUUUGAGGGUAAUAUGAUCAUUUGAUGGACUGGUUUAGGGAAAACAUGUGUUAGAAUUAAAGGAGCGUGUGUUACGCAAGGAAAAAGAAAAGAAAAAAAAGAGUUUAGGAGUUUUUUUAGUGACCUUUAUGGCUUUUGUUUUUCACAAUUCAAAAAUUCAAAAAGACUUUUUACCUUUUGCACUCAUUUACUCAAAAAACAAAAUAUCAAAAAGAUUUUGCCUUUGUUUCUUUCUUUUAGCAAGCAUUCAUAAUUUGAAAAUUUCAAAAAAGAUUUUUUUUUUUGGAGUUAUUUUUUAUAAAGGAAAAAUUCAAAAAAAAUGAUAGAAGUUUUGUACAUUUCAUGUAACGAAAUACAAAAAGUUUUUUCUUUCAUAAUUGUUGGUGUCAAUCUUAUGUGAAGUGUCCAAUUGAACCCCCCCCCCCCCCCAAAAAAAAAAGAUUUUAUUGACAUUUUUUAUCAUCCAUCUUUGGUCAUGUCUAUCAAGUAAAGGUUCAGUUUGUUGUUUAAUCCUUAAUUAUCCAAUCUGGACGAAUUACACAUACCUGAUUCUUCUCUCUCGGGGCUGACAUACGUAGGCACCCCUUCCAGGGUUCAGUAAUCUUAUUUACAAAAACCACAAAAAGAUUUUUCUUUAAUUGUUUCAAGUUUAUUUUCGUAUGAAAUUCAAAAUUGAAACCCUAAAAAGGAUUCUUCUUUGGUAAUUAGAGGUUUCGUUUUGUAUAGAAAUCUGAAAAAAUUCAAAAAAAAUUUAUUCACUCUUCAUUUAGAGUAGGUAUCAUAUACAUCUCUAAAAGAAAACGACAAAAGAUUUUCUUUUAAUAGUUUCAAGUUUCAUUUUCGUAUGAAAUUCAAAAUUGAAAACUCAGAACGAGUUUCCUUUGGUGACCAUAAGUUUCAUUUUGUAUAGGAAGCUGAAAAAUUCAAAAAGAUUUUCGUCAAUUCUAUUGGCAAUUUGUUAUUUUCUUUUCUUCUUAAAGUUUCAAGAAAAAGAAAAAAAGAAAGAGAGUUGAUCGGUCGUUUUGUGGCCAAAUUUCAUGAACUACACACACCUGAUUUUACUCUCUCGGGAGUGAGAUAUGUAGGCGCCCUUCUUGGGUUCGGUGAUCUUUUUAAAAAAAAAAGAAAGAAAAAGAUUUUUAAAAAAGAUGUUGAACUCCAACACAUUUGUUAUCUCUUGUUCAGUUAGUUUAAGGUGGUUGGUUUGUGGCAUUUUGAUUGGUCCUCCAUAUCACACCAAGUCUAAGGGAGAGUUAGUCAUGUCCAACAAGGAUAUAGAGAGUGACAUCAUGGAUCAGACGAAGGGUAAAAAAAUGAGAGUUUAAAGGAAGAGAUUUUGAGACUAAGGUAACAAAUGAUAGAAAUACACCGAUCUUGGGCCAGUGGGUUGCCUUCCUACUAUCGUUGAUGCACCACAACAUGCCUCGAAAUUCAUGACAUGUCAGCUGCAUCCCAAUACUUCCACCACCUCUUCUCUAUCUCCUCAAUAUAAGCCUACUAUAUUCGCAACACCAUAUGUCGUCUGUGAUUUGUUGCUCAACCCUCUAUUGAGGCUUCCACAUUGGCUAUCCGUCCAAUGAUUGUGGUUUCCCAGGCCACUAGUGAACCCAUGUUCAAUACUCUUGAUAAUCAUUUCUAUACUUAUUAGCCACUUUUAAGUUAACUGGACCACCAAAAUUUCUUACCAAGAAGUCCGACAUGGCAGAAGAGCAAAUGGUUUGGAAAAUGAAGGGUAUAGAAAAUACUAUGAAAAGUUCCCUAGGACUCGUAGAUAAAGAAGAUGUUUCAUAUAAAUAUUGAGGCAUGUCUUCAAGUUUCAACCUUUUUCAAAGAUUUUAGAUAUUGAAAUUUGAAGAACAUGAUGGACAUUAGGAUUCUGUGAAACAUUUGGUACGAUACUGCAAUAAAUCAAAGGAAGCUGAAGGGAAAAAGAAGGAAGACGUACCUAUUGUCGUGCCAGGGCCAAAGCAGAGAUUGAGAGGUCCAACUCACUAAUACUGUCAGCAUCAAUCCCUAUCUUACUUAUUAGAUCCACAUACUCACCUACAACACGGUUUCUCAUUCCAAAAUCCAAGAUAUUCUACUUUACUUCCUCAAUAUCCUUUGAAAAAUGCACAAUUGUAUACUCGUCUGUUAUCUUAUCCACAAUGGCAAGCACCGAUCCCUCAACAUCAUCCUCAGCCCCCCCAUAUAUUUACCAAGGUGCCUCUAAAUCCAAGUUUCAACCAAGGCUAGAGUUUUUAAAGAGGAUGAAGGAAAGGGGUAAUUUCACUCAUAUUGGGGAAUCCUAUGCCAGUUUGUUCCAUAGAUUGAGAUAGUGGGGCUUGAUUACUCCUCUCCUUAGGUAUACACUCGACUCACAUUCAAGAAAUUUUGACCCUAAUGUAUGGUGCGAAUAUCAUUCUGAUGUCUAGGGUCAUAAUAUUAAAGAUUGUCGUAAUUUGAAAAGAGAAAUAGAAAAGAUGAUUCAAGAAAAGUGAUUGUUGCAAAAUGUUGACACCUCGAGCGUUACACAGAAUCCUUCAUCAACACAUGGUGAUGCACAGUACGUGGGAAGUAAUGAGUUGGGCAUGAGGAUCCAAAACUUAUUUGUUGAGGGAAAUGUGUUUGAUGGUGAUGAAAGCUCUAAUCAUGAUGUGCAAAUCAAUGGCUAAGAUGUCAAGCUCAGCAAUUGGGAACUCACUCUUCUCCCUGCUAGGAUAAAUGUUUGGUAGUUUGUUUUCUUUUCUUUUCUAUUAUCUGAAUUAUUUCAGAGUUGUAGUUCGGGAUCUAUCUUGUUUUGCCCCUUUGUCGUUUAUGUUCAAACCCUUCCAUCUUUCAUUUAAACUAAAUGGAGUGCCCCUUUUUCCUUUGUGUUUUAAAUAUGUGUUGUUGUUUGUUUUCUUUACACAGUAUAUUUUAUGUUGGUUCUAGUGACAUGACAUGCUAGUGUAAUUUUCAGCUAGAUCUUAAAUCAAGUUUAACCAAGAAUUUUGAAUCAGAGGGAUAAGGUUAGAAAAGAAUCUGAGAAAAUAGGUAGAGUGCUAAGAUAUUUGGCAACAAGUUGAAGCCUUCUUUGAAAAUUAAGACAAUUAUUUUGAGAAUCACAAGAGUAACUUGGUCCUCAAUUGAAAAACAUGUCUCAAUUAGGUUAAAAAGUGGCUGCGUGAUCUUAUAUUAAGAGGAACAGAAAGAAAAUCAGCUCCACAAAAGCAUGAGUAAUUCGAUGUGAGGGAUGUACAACAAAGGUGGAGUUGUAUGCUGGAAAACUGUGGAAAAAUAUGUGACACACAUUCUCAGUUAAAGUAUUGAUAAAGUGUCACAAAUGCUCUUCAUCUCGCUUUCAUAUUGCAUUUUUACGUACUUGCAUUUUCAAGGAUUGAUAUGACGAAGGCAUUUCAUUCUGCUAUCCAAACAUUGUGUCAUCCUUUGUUUACCCAUUUGAGCCUUAGUUCUAUUUUCUUUCAUACCCCUCUUUUGGAAUCAAGAUAAGAUUCAGCAAUGUUCAAAAGAAAAGUGUUGAGCAAAAGAAUAAAGUAAAAAAUGUGUCAAAAAGAAAGAAAAAGAAGUGUCAAGGAAAAUAAAGUCAGAAAAAUUUUCAAAGAUAAAUAAAAAAAAGAAAAGAAGUUAGAAUCAAGCAAAAGAACGAGUUGUUGGAACUACGUGUGACCUGAUUCUUCUUUCUCGGGGAUGAGAUAUGUAGGCUGCCCUACUCUGGGCUUGGUCCAACCAAAUAAAUAAUUUAGUAUUUCCCAGUAAAAAAAAAACUAGGGCAUGAGUUAAUCCUCAUUAUUUGAGUCGAUUCUAAAAGUUGUAAGUCCCACCCUACUUUAAAUAUCGUUUGGGCCUCAUGCCAUUCUUUCUUUCUAACCCUAUCCAAAAGCCAAGUUACAACCAAAGAAAGACCUUCAGACCAAUCUUUGAGGAUGUUAAGGCUAAGCAUGCAAGGGAUAUAAUGAUGCAUUUGGGAACUACUUGUCUUCCUCGGCAUAAGGAAUCAAGAGAGAAAUAAAAAUGAGAGUCUUAUUGAUGAAAACCCUCACGGGCACCGUAAGGCAAUGGUAAGUCGAUAGAUAAUAAAAUGAGAGUCUUAUUGGUGAAAAUCUUCAUAGGCAUUGUAAGAUGAUGGUAAGUUGAGAAAAAUAAAAAUGAGAGAGUCUUAUUCGUGAAAACCUUCACGAGCACCAUAAGGCAAUGGUGAGCUGCGAGAAAAAUGAGAGAGACUUGUUGGUGAAAACCCUUCAAAGUGUCACUAGCCGAAUGAGGUCUUAAAUGCAAUUGACCUAAGGAAGUAACUCAAAUUCAAGGCCAUUAACUCAACAAGAAAUGGUAAAAGUUUGGACGAAAAGAUCAGGCAGCUUAAUCCGAAAUGUAUGUCAUAUCAUUGGAGUUGACUGUCACUUUCAGAUAAAUUCUUCUUUUCUCUAUUUUAAUGGGGACAUUCAUUAUAUUUUCUUUCUUCUGAUAGUUUUAUUUUUAUUUUCUUGAGUCAUUUAUUCAAAUAAAAAAAUCAUUGUCAUUUUUCUCGUGUCUUUGAGUCAAGUUUAUGUCAAAAUAAGUGAGAAAAGUUUUCAAAAUUGGAUACUAACUUCUUCAAUUGCGCUAAGAAAGACAAAAGGAAAGCACAUGAAAGAAACAAGAUUGCAAGUCAGAACAAGGCAUACAGAAGGUUGUUGUCAACCAACAAAUUUGGAGAAUUCGUGGAAAUACCAAUAUCUAAAGGGGAUUGUCUUAGAAACAUAGCAAAGCAGAGAUACUGUGUUUGUUUUAGAGUCACUCUUAAUAAUCUGAGUCUGGAGCAAUGGUGAAACAAGGCAAUGACGAAUGUUAAUGAUUGGAAUUAAGAUUUUAAUGGGACCAGUGCAAGAGAAAUUGCCUCAAAAGCAAAAUCCGCAAGCCAACCACCUUGUUUAAAACUCACAAGUUUUCUUUGUUAUAAAACAGGAAUGGUUGCUACCUUUUAAUCAAAGUCUUCAAAGCACAAAUAUCCAGAGCUGCAAUUCCUCAUUUCUGCAAAUGCAAGAGCAUAGGUUUGGUAAUUGCAAUUAUGGUAAAACUUAUUAUCUUGUACCCCUAAGAGACACAUUCUCUAAUUUAGGCCUUUCAUGUCUUACGGCUAGGAGGUGCACUUCCUAAUUUGAACCGUUAGUUCUAAAAGAUGCACUUUUAGCAAGAACCUUUCACAUUCAUUCUUAAGAGACGAACUUUUUGGUCUCAGUCAUUCAAUUUUACCCUCAAAAGGGACAUUUGUUGAUCAGGAUCUUUAUUUAUCUUUGUAACGACCCUCCUGGUCUUGUGAAAUCUUUUCAACUUCCUUAUUCUAGCUCUUAUGGUAGUUUGUAUAUGUAAUUUAUGACUUACGAAGAUAGAUAGUACCGAUUCUUGAUGUGUUCUAGGUGAGUUAAGUUCCUAGUUGGGUAUUUUAGAUAAUUAAUUUAAUUAGUAAUUUAAUGGGUCCAAAACCAUAGUUUAACUACUUAUGGGGUCAAUACAAAAAAUAAAUUUAAGUUAGAAGGGUUUAUCGGGUAUAAUAAUAGAAGCAAAUAAUCCCAAGAAAGGGUGAACGACGGUUAGCAGCCAUAUUUUGUAUUCACCUCUUUAAAGAAAAUUCGUGACCUCUUAUAGGUUUCCUUUCUAAUAUCUUUAGAAUUUGAUUAGAAACUAGUAAAUAAAUGUUGUGUAGUGAUUUCCUGUAAUCAUUGGCAUAGUUGACCAUACAAAGUAAUAUUAAAAUAGUAAUAUGAGAGAUAUGAGAUAUUCUUACAAUUUGUCCUUUUAUAUGGAUUGGGAUAAAUCAGUGGAUACAAAUUUAUAUUAGGAUAGCCGGUCAUAUUUUAAUGAUGAUUAUGGGUUUUUGGUGCCUGCAGUGUCAUGAUAGAACUAUUUUGUUCUUGGCAUCAACAGCAUGCCUCGGAGAUUUGGAACUAACAAUUGUUAUUUUAGACAGUAACGACAUAGUAAUAAUAAUUUCAUAAUCAUAUUGAGGUUUAAGCGUAGAAAAUCAUUGUGUUUAAUAUGGAUGGAUUUUAUAAUUUAACAUGUUAUCAAACCAUAUAUGUUUUGGGUUAUGGUUAUAUAUAUGUGCUCUAUUGAUAAAUUAUUCUGCACUAGCUAUUUGAUAUCAUUUAAUUUUAAUGGGAAUAGUCUUCUUACUAUUUCGUUAGUACAUAAGACUAGAAUGAAUAUUUUAUUUAGCUAAACAAUUCGUUCAUGGCUAUUUGAUUGGAUUGGACUCGAUGUUCCUGUUUUGGCUAUUUGAUUUACUCAAUAUUGGCCAUUGAAUUGACAUAUUAUAUUGUUUGCUCUCUAAAUCAACAGGAGAUACUAUUUUGAUUAUUUCAUAGGUCUUAAGGGUAAAAAUGUGUAAAAUGGGUGUCACUAGAUUCGUACUCUUAUUGGGAUUAUAGUUUGAACAACUUUGAAAUAUUCGGAAGCUUUAUGGAAGGGCAAAACCCUUGCACAUUAGCUUGCUUUUGAGUUCUUCGAUUGAGGUAGGUUAUGAUUUAAUUAGAGUUUAGAAUCAACUUGAUUGUGUGUAUGCUCCUAAAUUAGAUACUUGUUGAUUGGUAUUCGGAUAUGCUUGAAAUUGUUGAUGUUUGGACUAUUGAUUUGUGUAUAAAUGAUUAUUGAAAAUUUACUUGAUGGAAUUGUCUUAUGACUUUAAAUGUACUUGUAAACUUGGUGCAUUGUGUUGUAUGCUUGAGGUAGUUUAAAUUUGAUAUUGAUAUUACUUGUUUAUAUGUUGGAUCGGGUACCAUGCCGGUAUGGAUAUGUAUAUAUUGGAUCGGGUACCACACCAGUAUGAAUAUAUAUAUGUUGGAUCGGGUACCACGCCAGUACGGAUAUGUAUAUGUUGGAUCGGGUACCACGCUAGUACGGAUAUUUAUAUGUUGGGUUGGGUGCCACACCGGUGUGGAUAUGUAUAUGUUAGAUCAGGUACCACGUUGGAUCGGGUACCACACCGAUACGGAUAUGUAUAUGUUGGAUCAGGUACUACGCCUGUAUGGAUAUGUAUAUGUUGGAUCGGGUACCAUGUUGAUACGGUACAUGAACAUAGAUUGUUCCCUGCAGGUCAUGACUAUUUGGGUAAAAAUAAGCCCCAUAGCAUGUGUGUACGUAUUUAUAUUGAUUCUGUGGAUGUUUAUAGCAUGGUUGAUACUCUUGAUGGUUAUGUGGCUUAUUUGUGAGCACUGUUUGACCUAUUGUUGUUGUUGUUGUAUUGUUGAUUCAUUGAAUAUUUAUUUUGUGACGAUGCCUGUUUACUUGUUAUCUAAUUUAUGUUGUGUAAAUGCUAUUAAAUUGAGUUGGCCUAUGAUACCUACCAGUACAUAGUGGUUUGUACUGAUACUACCCUGUACUUUUCUUUUGUUGAGUGUAGAAAGUGUUCUUGGGACUCAGACAUGACCUCACCUCUAGAGUUUGAUAGUAGAUCUUGAUCCAAGGGUGAGCACUCUGUCUCCAGGAUGCCAUAGGUCAUCCUAUUUAUUCUGUCCAUCUUUCGGGCAAUGAAACAUUCUUUAUUUACUUUAUUUUUGGAUAUCCCUUUAGACAUGAUCUUUGUUAGUAGUUCUUGUACGAUGACUUUCGGAUCUUGAAAAUUUUAGUAAGUAGUUUGUUUUAAUUCCGUAUUAACAAUGAUUAGUCUUGAAUUAUUGUUAUUAUGUUGAUUUUAUAAUAAUAUUAUCUUAAUAUUGAUUAAGUGAUUGGGUAAUAGUUCGAUUUAGAUGGUUCUCCCACAGAAAGAUUAGUGUGGGUGCCACUUAUGGCCAUUUGGGUCAUGACAAAGUUGGUAUCAAAUCCCUAGGUUUGUCGAUCUCGUCGUAUAAGAACAUGUCUAGUAGAGUCUUGCAGAACGGUACGGAGACGUCUAGAGUCUUGCAGAACGGUACGGAGACGUCUGUACUUUCCUUCGAGAGUCUAUGAGACACUAGAAAAAUUUAAAUUCUUCUUCCUUAUGUGUUACUACUUGAUUUCAAUUGGUAUCUGACUUUUUUUCACUCUUAUUCUCGAAGAUGGGUGUGGUUGAGAGGUAUGGUAUAGAACUAGUUGUCACACCACUUUUUAAACUCCAAAAAAGAUUCGUUUUAAGUUCGAAAGGGUUUUUAUUAUCAACGUGACAAAAGAUAAAAAUUUUGUUUCGAAAAGAAUUCACUUUAAAAUUAACUCAGAGUCGCCACUUGGCAUAAUCCGGUGUGCCAAGUCACCUUUGAAAAAUCCUUUUCAAAACGAUUUGACUCUUUAAAACUGGUUUGCAAACAGAGAUUCCGGCUAAGAAAUUCUGUUGAUCGAGGGGAAGGUGUUAGGCACCCCUCGGUCUCAUGGUUCAACCACGGUCGCUUGGUAGAGCGUAUCGGCUAAUUUGCCAUUCUGAAUUUAUAAACCACACAAAACAAACAAAAAACAAACAAACAAACAAACGAAAACAAAACGAACCAAAAAUAUAGUGUCCAGUCCAAUUUAUACAUUCCAAAUAGAAAAAUGCAAAAAAUAAAUCUUAUCUAACCUAUACUAAUUCUAAAUUUGCUCUCGUGCAUAACCCGACGCCUCGGGCCUUCAUUAUAAAUGUUCUCAGGGUACAUAAUACUUUGAGGCAUUCCCCGGUGAAUGAACAUAAAUACCUCGGGGCAUUCCCCGGCCAAAUGAUACAUUCAAUCCCGAAAUCAAUAAAACCAAACCGUUCACACUCAUUUCAAGCAUUCAAUAAUUCAACGAGCAAAACUUAUUCCUAAAUCUUUGCCUACCCGAGCCUACUUUUGUCUAUUCAUUAGGCCUACCAUGAUACUAUCACGUCAAUGAUAUUCAAUGAAUCAAAAUAAAUUAACGCUUGCUUUUUUAUCAAUUUCAAUUCCUACCCCCCUUAAAAAAUAGCUUCCUUUUCAAUCAAUCAAUGAUUAAUUGAUCUUUCAGUUUAGCACCUUUUCAAAAUUCAAAACCAACAUCCAUACAUCAACCAACGAAAAUUCAAACAUAUGAAUCAUUAAUACCCAUCACAACAGUUAAGACCACUAAAAUUAUCAAGAAAUCACGCCAAGGCCAUAUUUGAACUAAUAAAGAGAUAGAGUUGAGAAAAUGAACCUUUGAAUAUUACAAUGAUAUCAAUGUUUAAGAAAACCAGACUCGAAACGCUCGAAUAGAAACUCUCAACAGCGUCAAGAUCAUAACUAGAAUCGAUAAACAUCAGUCCAAAAUUGACCACAAUAACCUGACUAAGACCCAAAAUAGAAAUUCCAACCCGAUCGACGACACGAUUUGAUAAUAAAAAAAACCUCCAAGACCAUCAAUAACAACGAACAACAAACAUAGAUGAAACAAAAAAAAAACUCCCAACGAUACGAUAGAAAUCGAGAUCCAAGAGAUUCCGGCGAAGUAGUCGCCGGAACAGUGACCAAACCUGCAAAACCCUUUUCCGAAUAACUUCAAAUCUACCCUUUUUUCUUCCCCGUUACAGAUCCACCCUCAAUUUCUCUCUCACGUGCGAGUCUCUCGAUAUUUUUGGUCAAACUCUCCACUACCUGAUUGUCUAUUCCGGUUGUGUGUUCUGUGUGCGUGAGUGAGUGUGAAUUAGUGAGGUGUAGUAUAUGAGAUUGUGUGCAUGCGAGUUACUGUGUAAAAGAAAAGACGGCCCCAAAAUUGGAGUCCGUCAGUGUUUUUUUUUUUAAUGAAGAAGAUCAUGUUCUUGGUGUGUUAUGUGUAGAUGAUGAUAAGAGCAAGAACCAGAAAAAUUGUGAGGCCUACCCCCCCCCCUUUCUCUCGUGCACUGUGUGUGUAUAUAUUUCAAAAGGAAAGAAAAAUAUUUUUGGAGACUUAUGGGUCCAUCCCCCUAGGUAAUUUCCUGGAAAGUUCCCUGGGUCCUUUCUUUGUUAACAAGCAAAAUAAGAGAGGGAGUGAGGGGUCACGUGAGGUAGGGGAUAGGAGGGGUAGGGGUUCGGAUGUGUUGUCAAUUUUUAAUAGGUUGAGUUGUUGGAAUCUUUAAAAUAAGACAAAAUUAGUUAGGUUUGUUAAAUGGGUUAAAAACAAAACAAAACAAAUAAAUAAAUGAGUAAAAGAUGAGGUGGUUAUUUAUUUUCUUGGGGAAAAAUUACUAUGUGGAUAGGGUAUGUAGUAAAAUGAGGUAAACGAUAAAAUGUGUGAAGGGACAAAAUUACGUGUCUACAUCAUGCCCCCUUUGAAUGUAAACACCUAGUGUUUUCAUACAAAGAAGUAGACAACGAGACAGAAUUUUGUCCCAAUCAUUAUUCGAAGAAAGAAACAAAAGAAAGAAAGAGAACCGAGUCUUGACGGACAUCCUACCUACCCAUGUUAUGAGGGAAUCAAGUGACUGGUAUCUCCAAGGGUUGGAAGGAGAGGAACUAUACCGAGUUGGAGAGUCGAGUGAGGUUCCAUCGAGGUUUUGGUCCGCGGCUCUGUCAUUACAUCAAAAAUAAAAAUUACACGUUAAAACAUCAAUGAAAUUACAAAAUCCUAUCUAUGGAGCUUUCUUUGACUAUUUACUCGCUACUCCAUCACCUUAUUCUUCAGGCGGGCUCCUGACUUGCAAUUUCUUCACCCUGUUGCUUGACUUUUAACUUCUUCACCCUGUUCUUCAGGCGGGCGUCUGACUUGCUAUUUUUCUUUCGAUUUCUUCACCUUGUUGCUUGACUUUCCACUUUUCACCCUAUUUUCAAGUGGAACCCUGACUUUUAAUUUCAUCACCCUGUUCUUCAGGCGAGUUCUUGACUUUCCAUUUCAUCACCCCAUUCUUUAGGCGAGUUCUUGACUUAUAAUUUCGUUACCCUGUUCUUCAGGCGGGCACCUGACUUACAGCUUCAUCACCCUGUUCUUCAGGUGGGCUCCUGAACUCAAAAUAAAAGCUAGAAAUAAAAUUAUCCCAAACGAAGAUUAUGAUAAAGAAAAAUUUCACUUUUUCCUAAAAGUAAUGUCCCAUUUUCCAGGAGGGUCCUGAACAUAAAGUAAAUUCCCAUUUUUAAAGAGGGUCCUGAACAGAAAGUAAAUUCCCAUUUUUCAGGAGGGUCCUAAACACAAAGUAAAGUCCCAUUUUUCAGGAGGGUCCUGAACAGAAAGUAAAAUUCCAUUUUUUAGGAGGGUCCUGAACAGAAAGUAAAAUUCCAUUUUUCAGGAGGGUCCUAAACAGAAAGUAAAAUCCCAUUUUUCAGGAGGGUCAUGAACAGAAAGUAAAAUCCCAUUUUUCAUGAGGGUCCUGAACAGAAAGUAAAAUCCUAUUUUAAGGAGGGUCCUGAACAGAAAGUAAAGUCCUCAUGGAUGUGUUUUUCCAAUGGUAACUGAAUUAAAUGAAGUGAAUUUGCCCCUAUUUCAACAAAGAAAAUUUGUCAGUUAAAAACUUAGUGGUGGCUUGUAGCACUUGGCUUCCCAGGGAUCUGCUCCAACCAUUGUUCCUUUCACCUUUGUUUCAGAUCACUGAAACUUAUCUCUGUCUUGUCGCAUCAUUGACCCAGAUCCAAAUUGAGGGAAAUGAGUUUUGACUCGAACAAUGAGUCUCCAUUUUACCAUGCCUCUGAGAUGCACCCUUUUCCAAAUCUUAAUACUCCCACGAAUCCAGCAGCCUGUCGGUUGAUAGACUUCCUUUUCUUUGUGUUGAAUUACGAUCAUAUUUCUUUCAUGUGCUGGUCCUUGGCUUUUCCUCAGAAAAUUGGAAAGACUGGUAGCAAGUUUUGAAAUCUUUUCUCGCUUGUUUUGACACAGACUUGACUUAAAAUGUAGAGAAAUGAUGGUGACUGUUAUUUUGAUAAAUGACAUAAAAAGACAAAAUAUGAAUAUGUAAUGAAAGAAAAAGGAAAUGUCCCUUAUUCAAAAAGAAAACUUAUCUGAAUACGGCAACCAAUUCCAAUGAGUAUGACAUGCAUUUUGGAUUAAGCUGCCUGAUCUUCCUAUCCAAACUUCCCAUUUUUUGUUGAGUUCAUGCCUUUGCCACUGAGCCACUUCUUCAAAUCCAUUGGACUCACAUAACUCAUUCAAUUGAAAACAACUUAAAAGACUUUCGCCAACAAAUCUCUUUCCUUUUCACUUUUCUCUCAAACUCGCCAUCGCCUUACGGUGCCCAUAAGGGUUUUCACCAAUAAGACUCUCAUUUUUAUUUCUCUCAGCUCCCCAUCGUCUUAUAGUGCUCGUGAGGGUUUUCACAAGUAUGAAUCUCUCAUUUUUAUUUCUCUCGACUCACCAUUGCCUUAUGGUGCCCGCGAGGGUUUUCACUAAUAAGACUCUCAUUUUUAUUUCUUUCCUGAUUUUUUAUACUGGGGAAGACAAGUAGUACCCAACAAUGUAUCAUUAUAACCAUUGCAUGCUUAGUCUUAACAUUAUCAAAGAUUGAUUUGAAGGACUUUCUUUGGUUGUAGCUUGGCUUUGGAUAAGGUUAGGAAAGGAUGACAAGAGACUCAAACGAUACUUGAAGUGGGGGUGGGAGUUACAACUUUUGAAAUCGACUCAAACAACACAUUAACUCAUGCCCCAGUUUUUGUUGACUGGUACCAGAAUCUAAAAUCUUUAUUUGGUUGGACCGAGCCCUGAAUAGGGAAGCCUAUGUAUCUCACCCCCAAGAGAGGAGAAUCAGGUCGUACAUAGUUCCAUCAGCUUGUUCUUUGUUUUGAUCUAAUUUUCUCUUCUCUUUUUUUUCUUUUAUUAUUAUUUAUUUAUUUUUAUUAUUUUUUUAUUGACAUUUCACUUUUUGCUUUGUUUUGAUUCCAAAAGAGGGAUAUGAAAGAAAAAGAGGACUAAGCUCAAACGGGGUAAACAAAGAAUGUCACAAUGUUUGGAUAACAGAAUGAAAUGCCUUCAUCAUAUCAAUCUUCAAAAAUGCAAGUACUAGACAUGUACUAAAAUCAACAAAGGAUAAAAUAUCAUACAUAAUAUCUUUUGACCGCAUCAACAUUGAUAGCCAUUUCUGCCAUUUUGCCUUCAAUAUCUGUCAAAUAUAAGGCUCCAUUGGGCAACACUUUCUUCACCAUGAAGGGACCUUGCCAAUUAGGGGAGAACUUGCCUUUUGCUUCAACCUGAUGAGGAAGAAUACAUUUCAAUACCAACUGACCAACUUCAAAAUUCCUGGGACGUACCUUUUUGUUAUACGCUCAAGCCAUUCUCUUCUGAUACAAUUGGCCAUGACAUACCGACUUCAAUCUUUUUUCAUCAAUCAAACUCAAAUGUUCCAAUUAGGUUUUGGCCCACUCAUCAUCAUCAAUCUCUGAUUUCACAAUGACUUAAAGAGAGGGAAUUUCAACUUCAGUGGGAAUGACUGCUUCUGUCCCGUACACCAAUAAAUAUAGAGUUGCCCCUGUUGAAGUGUGAACAGUAGUGCGAUACCCUAGCAAUGCAAACGGCAACUUCUCAUGCCAUUGUCUAUAUCCUUGCACCAUUUUCUGUAGUAUUUUCUUGAUAUUCUUAUUGGCAGCUUCCACCGUGCCAUUUGUCUUUGGAAGAUAUGGAGUGGAAUUUUGAUAUACGAUCUUAAACUGUUGGCAUACUUCUUGAAUCAAAUGUCUAUUGAGAUUGGCAGUAUGUCUGUAAUGAUCAUCUUUGGAAUUCCAAACCUACAAAUGAUGUUGGCAUGAAAGAAAUCUACUACCGCCUUCUUUGUUACCGACUUGAAAGUUACUGCUUCUACCACUUUGUGAAGUAAUUAAUGGCCACCAGAAUAAACCUAUGCCUAUUUGAUGCUUUUGGCUCAAUCAGUCCAAUCACGUCCAUUCCCCAGGCUAUGAAAGGACAUAGAACAACCAUUGCGUGCAACUCAGUUGGAGAAGAAUGUAUUAGAUCACCGUGUACCUGACAUUGAUGACACUUGAGAACAAAUCGAAUAGAAUCCCUCUCCAUAGUGAGCCAGUAAUAGAGAAUCUUCUUUGAUAAGACAUAACCGUUCAUAUGAGGCUCGCAUACUCUGGAGUAAACUUCAACAAUGAUUGCCGAAGCUUCUUUUACAUAUACAUACCUCAAAAGUCCCAGAUCCGGGGUUCUCUUGUAUAAGACUCUUCCACUUAAGAAAAAUCCACUAGCCAAAUGCCUAAUAGUCCUCUUUUAAUCAUUGGUGGCAUGUGCUGGGUAUUCUCCUGACUGGAUGUACUGCUUGAUAUAAAAGAACCAAGGUUCUCCAUGGAGCUCUUCUUGAACUGCAUUACAAUAAGUGUGUUGAUCAUGACUCUGAAUAUGCACUGGAUCGAUGUAGGCCUUAUCAGGAUGUUGGGGCAUCGAAGAUAAAGUGGCCAACCCAUCAGCAAUCUCAUUGCAAAUUCUUGGAAUAUUCCUAAACUUUACAGACACAAACCGUUGACAUAGAUCUUUCAAGCAUUGUCAAUACGGUAUUAGCUUUAAAUCUUGCGUCUCCCAAUCACCUUGAAUCUGAUAGUCGAGCAAAUCUAAAUCCCCAACACUAUUAGUUCCUGGACUCCUAUAUCAACAACUAGCCUCAACCCAGAAUGCGAGCUUCAUAUUCUGCCAUGUUAUUGGUACAAUAAAAUCGAAGUUGUACUGUUACCGAAAAAUAUUGCCCCACCUCAGAGAUAAGAACAACACCUAUUCUAACUCCCUUGACGUUAACAACUCCAUCAAAGAACAACUUUCAACCUGGAUCAACAUCUAUAAUGACUUCAUCGACACACAAUACCUCUUCAUCUGGAAAAUAUGUCUUUAAUGGGUCAUACUCUUCAUCAAUGAGAUUCUUAGCAAGAUGAUCUGCUAAGGCUUGGUAUUUCAUGGCGGUUCGAGUCACAUAUACAAUGUCAAACUUGGUAAGCAAUAUUUUCCACUUUGCCAAUCAACUCGUUGGCAUAGGCUUAUGAAAUAUAUACAUCAACAGAUCUAUGCGGGAGAUGAGAUAAGUAGUAUAAGAUGAAAGAUAAUGCUUAAAAUUUUGUUCUACCCAAGUCAGGGCACAACACGUUCUUUCAAGAAGUGUGUACUUGGCUUCAUAUGUUGUGAACUUCUUGCUAGGUAAUAAAUAGUUUAUUCCCUUUUGCCCGUGACAUCAUGCUAACCCAAGACACAACUAAAGGAAUUGUCCAUGACUGAUAAAUAUAUGAUCAAAGGCCUACCAGGAUCCGGUGGUACCAGCACGGGCGGAUUUAACAGAUAUCUUUUGAUUUUAUCGAACACUUCCUGGCAUUCUUCAAUCCACUCUACCACAACACUCUUUUUCAGCAACUUGAAAAUGGGCUCACACGUGGUUGUGAGUUGAGAAAUAAACCUGCUGAUGUAGUUCAAUCUACCCAGGAAACUUAUCACCUCCGUCCUAUUCUUGGGUGAAAGCAGAUCUUGGAUGGCUUUGAUUUUCGAGGGAUCCAAUUCAAUUCACAGAUGGCUGACUACAAACCCCAACAACUUUCCAGACGGAACUCCAAAUACAAAUUUUGCUGGAUUGAGCUUGAGAUUAUACCUGGGAAGCCUUCUAAAGAACUUUCUUAAAUCUUUUACAUGGUCAACCUGGCUCUUUGAUUUAAUAAUUACAUCAUCUACAUAGACUUAAAUAUCCUUAUGCAUCAUAUCAUGAAACAUGGUGGUCAUGGCUCUCAUGUAUAUUGUUCCAGCAUUCUUCAAACCGAAUGGCAUCACUUGAUAAAAUAAGUACCCCACAGUGUGAUAAAAGACGUCUUUUCCACGUCUUCAUCAUCCAUAAUGAUCUGGUGGUAUCCAGCAUAACAAUCCACAAAAAAGGCUACCUCAUAUUUAGCGCAAUUGUUCAGCAAAAUAUGGAUGUUGGGCAGCGAAAAAUCAUUAUUCGGACUUGCUCUGUUCAAAUCAAGGUAAUCAACACAUACUCGAAUUUUGUCAUCUUUCUUUGGGACAGGAACAACAUUGGACAACCACGUAGGAUAAAGAGCCACUCGAAUGACUUUGGCUUUCAGUUAUUUCAUAAUUUCCUCUUUGAUUUUAAUACUUACAUCAGUUUUAAACUUCCUCAACUUCUAUUUCACAGGGAGGGGAAGGCAGGAUCAGUUGGCAAUUUAUAAGACACUAAUUCAGUGGUUAAACCGGGCAUAUCAUCAUAAAACCAUACAAAAACAUUCUUAUAAUCAAUUAAUGCUUGAACCAUGCCCUCUUUUAGCUGUGGCAAAGCAUGUACACUAAUUUUAGUUUCCCUAACAUCUUCUUGAUUCCCUCGAUUAAUUGGGUCAAUUUCAUUCAAAUUAGGAUUUGAAUUGUCUUCAAAUUGUUUCAACUCUUUGCUUAUUUCUUCUAGUGCCUCUUAUUCAUCAUAUUCCCCUCUUGCUUCAAUAUAUCUUGAUUAGUUUGGAUUUUAAGAUUAGGCUAAAAAUUUCACAUGCAUGUCAUGUCAUUAGAGUCAGCAUAAAGAGAACUGUAUAAAGAAAAGACAAAACAAAAUACAUUAGACAAAAAAUAAAAGGGACAUUACAUUUCAUUAAAAGGGAAAGGUAGGAGGGUUUAAACACAAACAACAGAAUAUAAACAAGCUAAAUUCUGAGUUACAACCCUGGAAUAACUCAAAAAACUGAAAGGAAAACAAAAUAAACUAUCAAAACAGCCUCCUGAUGGGGAGAGGAGUGACUUCCCAAUUGUUGAGACAGACAAUUGGAACUAUGAACUGCACAUCUUCCUUACUGGUACCUUCUCCUGCUUCAACCAUGUCAACUUCAAUCAAUAGGUUCUGGAAGUCAUCAACCAAUUUAGCUUUAAAUUCUACAUGCUUUAUGACACCGCUCUUGACAAAUGACUCACUGAGUAGCGGCGUUGGGUGAGGGAGUGACCAUGUUUCCUUUUUCCUUUCCUUGGCCUCCUUCAGAUCUUCAGUCGUAGGUUCAAAACCCAGACCAAAAGUGCCUAUGUUCUCCCUCGGACAUAUAGGACGAACUAUACCAUACAGAGACACUCCCAAACCUUUUCCUGGCACAAAUCCAUACUUCAACAUCUCAUUCACCAUCAUGAAAGAAGUAGAAGACAAUCGUGGUCCCGACAUAACCUUCUCCUCAAGAAUAAGAUCCACCGACACUGUAUCAAACGACUGAUAGAUAAAUGUAUCCUCUACACUAAUUGCUUCAAUAAGAGGGAUGAGAGAAUCUUUGUGGGCGGACAAAUCCCUUUUGCCAUGAAUAACCACUUCUUGCCUGUCAUGCUCAAACUUGAUCAUCUAGUGCAAUGUAGAUGCAACAGCCCCAACUUUGUGGACCCAUGGUCUUCCCAACAACAGAUUGUAUGAGGAGUCAAUAUUCAUCACUUGGAGCUCUAUGGAAAAUUCAACAGGCCCUAUAAGCAACAUUAGUUAUAUUUCGCCAAUGAAGUCUGUUUUAGCCCCAUCGAAAGUCCUGACACAUACAUUAUUCGGCCUAAUCCUCUCGACACCGAUGUUCAACUUUUGUAGUGUAGAUAUAGGGCAAAUAUUUAUGCCAGAACCUCCAUCAAUCAUGACAUGAGUGACGCAGAAAUCUUAACACUUCACGGUAAUGUAAAGACCCUGGUUAUGCCCCGUACCUUCAACUGGAAAUUUGUUAUCAGAGAAGCUGAUUCGAUUUACUUCAAAGAUUUUUUCGACUAUUUUCUGAAGCUGAUUUAUCGUAAUCUCCUUAGGAAAGUACGCUUUGUUUAAUACCUUCAGUAUAAUGUCACGAUGUUCCUUGGAAUGCAACAACAAAGAUAAGAGGGAAAUUUGAGCAGGGGUCUUCUUCAACUGAUCUAUUAUUGAAUACUCUGGAAAUUUCAUCUUUUUCAAAAAUUCUUCAACUUCUUUUUCGGUGACAGGCUUCUUGACAGAUGAAGGCCCACUUACCCCUGGCUUGGGCUUCAUCAAACCUUUAAGCACGAAGCAUCUUCCUGACCGAGUCAGACCCCCUAUCACAUCUACUUCUUCCUCGACUUUCUUUCCUUAAUAAGUCAUCACAGUCUGCUUAUAGUUCUAGGGUACCUUUUUCGUAUCAACUGUCGGAGGUUGGGUCACCGGUUUGAUGAUAAUAGGCGCUGCAAGUACUCCUUUCACUGUCAAGAUAGGCUUACCCGGAGCUCCUAUCACCAUUAAAUUAUGCUCGUCUUAACUUAGACCAACAUUUUUUCUGGCUCCUUGCACCACAAUCACAGGUUUCUUUGUGCUUUCUUGGACUUUAUCUUCUCCCAUUCCUUCCUGGCUUAAUGACAUUGCUUUCAAUGAAUCUUCAACAUUCACCUAUUUGUCCUCCUUGGUUUGUAUUCUGACAAUAGGCUUAUAACACAUUGAUGACUCUUUGCCAUCAUAUAUCAACUCCAAUAUAUUAGUUUCAGCAUGGUUGGCAAUGGAUUCUGGUUAAUGUUUGGAAUUUACAGGGCCUGGACUAGAAGUUGAUUUGCAUCAAUUAAAUCUUAGAAAACUCUCUUCAAAUGCCAGCAUUUCUCGAUGUCGUGCCCCGGCAUAUCAAAACAAUACGCAUAUCUUAAUGAAUAAUCAAGAUUUCUCGGAGGUGGAUUCAAAAGCCUUCCUUGAAUUAGGCUCAAUACCUUCAAAUUCCUCAACCUAGGUUGGAAAGCGGGUUUGGAGGGUUUUUGGUAAUUUGGAGGAGCUGAAGGACGAUUUUGAGGAGCUUAUGCAUGCCAUUGUGGGUAAAAAAGGGUUUGAGCAUAUGCUUGUGCGCUAUUUACUGGGUACGGGGGUGGUGGAAUGGAAUAUAGUGGGUUUUGUAGGGGAUAGUAAUGAUGGGAAAGAAUAUAUGGAGCUUGGGCAUAGGCUUGGGCUUGGGGUUAGUGAUAGGGGCAAGGUGGUCUUUUGGGAUAGGAAUGGGAUAUAGCUAUAAUGGUUGCCACCUCCUCUUUCUUAUUUUUUACCUCCAAAAGUUCCAGAGCCACCUUGAAUUGCUUGGGUGAUGGCUUUUAAUGCGGCAAAACUCAUAAUCCAUCUAGUCUUGUUUCUGUCCUCUAUCAUCUCUCCCAUUUUUAGGACUUCAAUAAAUGACUUUCUCAUCGCCGGAAGUAAAUGUUGAAAAUAGGUCUCAUCCUAUGCCAGAAUGAAGACCUCUACUAACUUACUCUCCUUCAUUGGAGGUUUUACCCUUGCGGACUGUUCACGCUAUCUUAUCGCGUAUUCCCAAAAACCUUUAGUACUUUUCUUUUUCAUAUUGACCAGGGAUUUCUCAUCAGGAACCAGAUCGAUGUUAUAUUGAAAAUAUUGCACAAAUUCAUUAGCUAGGUUAUCCCAGUUGUUCCAAUUGUCAAUAUCCUGAUCGAUGAAACAUUCUAAAGCCAGACCGGAAAGACUCUCACCAAAGAAAGCCACAAACAACUCUUCUCUUCCCCCUGCAGCCCUCAAUUGGUUGCAAUAACGUCUCAAAUGCGCCACGGGAUCACCGUUUCCCUCGUACUUCUCAAAUUUGGUCAUUUUAAAACCAAGGAGAAGGUUAACGUCUGGGCAUAUGCAAAGAUCUCUAUAGGAAACACUCUUAUAACCCCCGAUUCCUUGUAAAUUCCUCAUGGCCUGUUCUAAAAUUUUCAAUUUCCACGCUAUGACUUCUUGUUCCUCUAUUGUAACUAGCUUCUCUGUAUCAAAUGGAAAUGCAGGUGGAUGAGUGUACCCAUAUGGUUCAUUCAUCUUCAAAGUAGGUUCCAGGGCAUAAUACUGAUUAUCUGAAACCUUCAAUACUGGCUCACUAACAGACUGAAGGAGUACCAUUGUCGGACGUACAGUAUAGAUUGGAGCUUUAGGUGGUGGCGGAGCCACGAACACAGGCGCUGCCGGUGGCUCCGAAUGAGUCACGGGCCUUAGUUGAGGAACUGCUAGGGGAACACUAUAAGUGCCAGGGUAAUAUUGCCGUGGAGUGAAUCCGUUGACUCAAUGGGAACAGUGAAUUGCGCCUAAGAGAGCUGUGGGCAAUUAGGGAAAUUCCCAAGAUCUUUAGGGAGUGGAGGAGGAGGCAUGCCACUAGCCCAUGCUCGGUGAAGAUCUAGCAAUUGUUGUCUAAGUCUUAAUACCUCAUCAUUGCGUUCUAAACUUUCUUUCCUGGGAUCCUGAUCUGGGUCAAUGAGUGAAUUUUCAAUCUCCCUACUAGACAUGACAAGCUUAUCUUUUGAUCUAGUGAAGUACAGAUGCCUAGACAAAGUGCUACAAAGCAACCACUUAUCUGAAAGAACAUGCUCAUCAAAGGCAAAACCCAUUAGGAUUAGGUCAGGAAACAAGCAUAGAAAUCACAUAGUAUACAUCAUAGGUUUAUGUACAUUUCUACUGGCCUUUGAGGGUACUGAGGCCAUUUUAACAUCAUCCCGAUUUUCUCAUUACAUUAUCACACCUCGUUCUUUCUGCUUUUCACCUUCACUUCUUCCUUCUUUUGCAUCAAUUUCUUCUCUUCCUCUUUUCUUCUCUCAUUGCUAUUUCUUUCUUUUCUUCUCUCGCUAUCUCAUUUCUUUUUGUCAUUCUUUAUGGGUUUUGCUUUUCUUUAAAAGAGGAAAAUAAUGAAAAACAAAGAAACAAAAUGAUUAGAUCGAACCCAAAAGUAGGUUGCCUACGUAUCAUAUUAAUGAAUCAGAUCUUGCGUAGUUCGGGAGACAUAUGCACAAAUAUCACAUAAUUGAAGAUUUUUGAUUUUUGAUUUUUUUUUUUGGCGAAAAACAAACAAAAGAAAAAACCAACAUCACUACAUUUCAUAAAAGGGAUGACUCAAACAUACUUCAAAUUUAAGACAAACUUAAAACUAAUCAACGAAAACUAAACAACACUCUAGACAUAUAGGACAACAUGCGUAACAUUCCUUAUAAAGACCCUAGCGUUAAAACAAACUGGACAUCGACUUAACAAAGACACAAUACUACAAUGGCAGAAAAGUAAAGGACUCAAACUAAACAAAAGAUAAGAAAUGCUCUUUCAAACUGGUGCGUCGUGUGAUGACCCUGGAUGAGAUGGACCUUUCUGUGAAAUUCUACUCAAACUAUAUAGCAUAUCUUGCAAGGACAGUUUGAUAUUUUGGAAGAAACUUCUAGCACGUAUUCCUGCCUCAUGGGGAGUGCACCUGAAAAGACUGUUCUGACAUAUUUCCACAGUUGCGAGCAAACCUGAUAACUGAACUCUCAACUCCUCCACUUUGAUCCCCGCACCCUCAUCUUGACGAACAUCAACUAUGCAUUCUUCCUGUGUUCUUCCUCUAAGCUGUGCUGGUAAUGGUCUACUGAUACCCCGAGGCAUGGACUCUAGCCAGAUCUCAUAUCUCUGAGUGUACCCCGGAUUAUCCAAACCUUUUUUAAGAGUGUCUACACCUAGCAUUGUUGCAUGCUUCCAUAACUGCUCGUAUUUCCUCUCACCUAAGGCUUGGUCCUUGAAGUACUCAACAUUCUUUAGAAGAUCCACUACUGUUUGCACGUCCUGCGGCCUGCCCAACUGGCGCAUUAUCCUAGAAGGACUGUAUGGUCUAGUGCAAUUGAGUCCUAACAUAACUAUAAGGAGCUGCAUCUGACAACCAAACAAGAUUAUUUUUGGGCGAAGCCACAGAUAAGUCUACAAAAUGUUAUCCUCGGUUCUUGACUCAAGAAAUUCAAUCCAAGCAUCGACUCCCACGAGUUGCGAGAAUUUAUCAAAGCGCCACCUGAGGUCCAUGACUUUCACUCGAUUGGGAACACAACUAUCAACCAUGUCUGGUCUAACUAAAGAAGGCGCAUGCAAAUGCUCCAUCAUCCACAACUACAAUAUCAGGUUACUGCCCUCCAAAAAUCUCAUCCCCCGUUUACUUCGGUUAAAGCGUUAUAUAUUUCUGUUAAGAUCAUGGGUAUAAUAGUGAACUUUUCCUUUUGAUUAGUGACCUUGACCUUUUGAUUAACGAUCUUGCCUUUUUGAUAUGUGAUAUUGUCUUUUUUAUCCUUAUGAAAUAGAGCCAUUACCACAGAUUGCAAGCGUGUAUUAAUACGCCUUUCUUCUAGCGGAAACACUAAAGUGCCUAACAGAGCGAGGGUGAAGACUUCAAGAUGUUUUCUUUCCCAAUUAUGCUUAGUCAUAUAAAAUUCAUCCCAAAAGUAGUCAAAACCUUUCAAGGACCCAAACCUAGCGAAUAAAAAGUCAAAGGAAAUCCAUGAUUGAUUCAGAUAACCCAAAUGCUUGUUGUUACUCUUUAACCCACAACCUUGUAGAAAUUUAUUGCCCGAGUGAUUCUGAGCUCGGAUCAUACUCUUAUCGAUAUAAGGCAAAUAAAGCAUACCGAAUAUUUCUGCCAAGGUAGGAGUCAUUCAUAGUUUCCGAACCUGAACACCACACUACUAGGAUCCCAAAAGGUUAACAUAGCAUCUAUUAGAUCUGGCCGAGGUGUAAGAUAUAGAAGCUCCAUAGGAUCACCUAGUAUCUUAAUUACCUCUUGCUUAUUAGUACAGUUGGACGUGCCCCACCACUUGAUUAACUUUUUGGGUACUUUGGAAACCAUCAAGUCUCUAGAACCUAUGGGAUUCAUCCUGUAAGAACAAACCAUACUCAAAAUUCAAAACAAGAGAAAGAGCUCCCGACCCUCGGGAUUUUAGCUUAGAGAAAUAUCAUAUGACAUAGAGGGACAGAUCGACCUAUAACUUAAAUAUACCGAACAGUACCGCCGAAUGAAAUCAGCCUACUUGGCAAGGACCAGUUGACAACACUAGAUUACGAGGAGAAAGACCCUAGCCUAAGAUCGAGAUGAAGAUCAAGGUAAAAAGAUUACCGGACCUGCCGAGGGUUGCCUACGUAUCCCACCUCGAGGGACGAGAAUCAGGUAUGCGUAGUUCAUCCAGAUUAGACAAUUAAGGACUACAAUGAACUAAGACUUGACCUAAUAGGUGGGAUUACAGACGGACGAUGGAAAUAACAUCUUUUUGGGUUUUUUAAUAAACACUUUACAUAAAAAUAGUACCACUAUGAAAUUAAAAUCUUUUUGGUAUUUUCAUGAAAUGUACAAAACUCCUACAAUUUUUUUCCAAUUUUGUUUUAUAAAAACUCCUAUGAAUGAAAAAUCUUUUUGAAGUUUUCGAAUUGUGAAUGCAUGCUAAACGAGACAAAGGAACAUUUUUUUUGAUGUUUUUGUUUUUGAGAAAUGAGUGCUAAAGGUAAAAGUUUUUUUUUUCUUCUGAAUUUUUGGAUUGUGAAAAACAAAAGCCAUAAAGAACUCGAAAAACUACGAAACUCUUUCUUUUUUCUUUUUCUUUUCUUUUUUUCCAUUACCCAUACACUUUACUUCUAACACAUGUUUCCCCAAAUUAGUCCGUCAAAUGACCAUGUUACCCUCAAAGAUGCAACAUUUAGCACGUUGGGAUGUUUUAGAGGUGAGUAUCCUAUGAAGGACCAAGUAGGCCCCGCUAAGUCUCGACAUGAUGCACAUAAACAUGACCAGAAGGUAAUAUGACCUGAAGGCUAACCUACGCUGGGGUUCACUAACAAGGCUGUUCGGGGGAGCGUAUGAUUGAUAGUGGCUGCGGCAGCUUUCCAUCUACUCCAUAUAACCCAACGGCUCCCCCAUUCUAAAAUAAGGGUGACUCAACUAUAGGUCGUGUACACACGUGUACUACAGACUUGUUGCAGAAAGAAUGACUCGGGUUAUGCACAUGACGUCAUAUAUAAAAAAGUAACAUAUUAAAUAAAAACUGUAAACAAAGAGCACGUAGGCACUCACCAAUGAUAAACAAUAACACAAAAUAACACAAACAAAAUGUCUAUACACCUAUAAUGCCAAACUAAGACGAUACAACUCCAAAAUAAGCUUGAAUUCUAAAAAGUGCUCCCCAGCGUAGUCGCCAGAGCUGUCACACCCUUUAUAAACUCCAAAAAAGAUUCAUUUUAAGUUCGAAAGGGUUUUUAUUAUCAACGUGACAAAAGAUGAAAAAAAUUUCAAAAAGAAUUCACUUUACAAUUAACUCAGAGUCGCCACUUGGCUUAAUCCGGUGUGCCAAGUCACAUUUAAAAAGUCCUUUUUAAAAUGAUUUGACUUUUUAAAACUGAUUUGUGAACAGAGAUUCCAGCUAAGAAAUUCUGUUGAUCGAGGGGAAGGUGUUAGGCACCCCUCGGUCCCGUGGUUCAACCACGAUCGCUUAGUAGAGCGUAUCGGCUAAUUUGACAUUAUAAAUGUAUAAAACACACAAAACAAACAAAAAACAAUAAAACAAACAAAGAAAACAAAACGAACCAAAAAUACAGUGUCCAGUCCAAUUUAUACAGUCCAAAUAGAAAAAUGCAAAAAAUAAAUCCUAUCUAACCUAUACUAAUUCCAACUUCGCUCUCGUGCAUUACCCGAUGCCUCGGGCCUUCAUCACAAAUGUUCUCAGGGUACAUAAUACUUUGGGACAUUUCCCGAUGAAUGAACAUAAAUAGCUUGGGGUAUUCCCCGGCCAAAUGAUACAUUCAAUCCCGAAAUCAAUAAAACCAAACCGUUCAACACGUAUUUCAAGCAUUCAAUAAUUCAACGAGCAAAACUUAUUCCUAAAUCUUUGCCUACCAGAGCCUACUUUUGCCUAUUCAUUUGGCCUACCAUGAUACUAUCAUGUCAAUGAUAUUCAAUGAAUCAAAAUAAAUUAACGCUUAUUUUUUUAUCAAUUUCAAUUCCUACCCCCUCCUAAAAUAGUUUCCUUUUCAAUCAAUCAAUGAUUAACAGAUCUUUUAGUUUAACACCUCUUCAAAAUUCAGAACCAACAUCCAUACAUCAACCAACAAAAAUUCAAACAUAUGAAUCAUUCAUACCCAUCACAAUAGUUAAUACCACUAAAAAUCUCAAGAAAUCACGCCAAGGCCAUAUUCGAAAUAAUAAAGAGAUAGAGUUGAGAAAAUGGACCUUCAAAGAUUACGAUGAUAUCAAUGUUUAAGAAAACCAAACCCGAAAGAUAAAAUAGAAACUCUCAAUAGAGAUAAGAUCAUAACACGAAUCGAUAAACAGCAGUCCGAAAUUGACCACAAUAACCUGACUAAGACCCAAAAUAGAAAUCCCAACCCGAUCGAUGACAUGAUUUGAUCACAAAAAAACCUCUAAGACUGUCACUGACGAUGAACAACAAACGUAGACAAACCUAAAAAAAAACUCCCAACGACACGACAAAAAUCGAGAUCCAAGAGAUUUCGGCGAAGUAGUCGCUGGAACAGUGACCAAACCUGCAAAACCCUUUUCCGAAUAACUUCGAAUCUACCCUUUUUUCUUCCUUAUUAUAGAUCGACCCUCAAAUCCCUCUCUUGCGUGCGAGUCACUCAAUAUUUUCCCUCAAACUCUCCACUACCUGAUUGUCUAUUCCAGUCGUGUAUUCUGUGUGCGUGAGUGAGUGUGAAUCAGUGAGGUGUAGUAUAUGAGAGUGUGUGUGUGUGAGUUACUGUGUAAAAGAAAAGAAGGCCCAAAAAAUAAAGUCUGUCAGUGUUUUUUUAAUGGAGAAGAUCAUGUUCUUGGUAUGUUAUGUGUAGAUGAUGAUAAGAGCAAGAACUAGAAAAAUUGUGAGGCCUUCCUCCCCUUUUCUCUCAUGCACUGUGUGUGUAUACAUUUCAAAGGAAAGAAAAAUAUUUUUGGAGACUUGUGGGUCCAUCCCCCUAGGUAAUUUCCUGGAAAAUUCCCUGGGUCCUUUCUUUGUUGACAAGCAAAAUAAAAAAGGAGGGAGGGGUCACGUGAGGUGGGGGUAGGAGGGGUAGGGGUUAGGAUAUGUGACCGUGUGGCCACUGUGUUAUUUGAUUUUGGUUCUACUUUGUCAUAUGUAUCUAUCAAUUUUGUUGUGGAUUUGGACAAGGUGUGUGUCUACUUGACUUUUCUAUUCACGUGCCCACUCCUGUGAGUGAUUCUCUUGUUGUUGAUAGGAUUCAUCAUUCUAGUUCUGUUAUGUUAUGGGGUAUCAAACUUGGGCAGAUUUUGUGAUUCUAGACAUGAUAGAUUUUGAUAUAAUUUUGGGUAUGAGUUGAUUAUCUAUAUAUCAUGCUAUGCUGCAUAGUCAUGCUAAGAUAGUGACUGUAGCUAUGCCGAAAAUGGAUAGACUUAAGUGGGAGGGUGAUUAUAGUCCUACUCCAAUGAAACUUAUUUCUUUCUGCGUGCAAAGAGGUUAAUUGGAAGAGGUUGUUUGACCUUCCUAGCAUAUCUUCGGGACACUUCCAUAGAGGUCCCAUCUAUUGAGUUAGUUUCUAUGGUGUGUGAGUUCCAAGAGGUUUUUCCUGAAGAUCUGCCUGGUAUGCCUCCAGGCUUUGACAUUGAUUUUUGUAUUGAUCUAGACCCAGAUACUCGUCCUAUUUCUAUUCCUUCCUAUAGGAUGUCUCCAGCUGAGUUAAGGGAGCUAAAGGCUUAGCUGCAGGAUUUAUUGAGUAAGGGUUUUAUUUGUUCGAUUGCCUCUCCAUGGGGUGGUCCUGUCUUGUUUGUGAAGAAGAACGAUGGUAGUCUUCUUAUGUGUAUAGACUAUAGGUAGAUGCACAAGUUAUAUUCCAUAAUAGGUAUCCUUUACCCUAUAUCAGUGAUUAUUUAACAAGUUAUAGGGUGCAUCUGUAUUUUCUAAGAUUGAUUUGAGCUCCGGGUAUCAUUAGCUUAAGAUCGAGUCUGCCGAUAUUUCUAAGCCUGUUUUCAAACCCGGUAUGGGCACUUUGAGUUUUUUGUGAUGUCUUUUGGGUUGACUAAUGCCCCAACUACCUUUAUGAGUUUGAUGAAGGGGAUAUUUAAACCUUACUUGAAUUUUUUCAUGAUUGUAUUUAUUGAUGAUAUUAUGGUUUAUUAUAGAGUAAAAAGGAACUUGAGAAUCACUUAAGGAUUGUUUGGGUUGUUAGAAGAGAAAAAGCUUGAUGCGAAGUUUUCUAAGUGCAGGUUCUAGUAGGUUUCUUUCUACUGUUCUUCAUAGAUAAUGUGUGAUAUAUAUUGUGUAUGGAUAUGGAUGUUAGGCUUGAUUAUGAGUAGGAUGACUUGGCCUCGAUUGUUAAUAUUUGGAGUUUAUACGCUGGCUUGGGACCCGUAAAAUGUCAUGUUUAUACCCUUUCUAAAUUCUAUUGCUUUUCCUCUCUAGUUUAAAUUAGUUGUAGCUUAGUUAUGAUGUAAACCUAUGUUUGGGAUGUGGUUUUAGUAUUUGAAGCAUGAUUUGUAUAUUUAGCCUUAUAGGGCUAGUUUGAUAGUCUUGAAAUCAUAAGUUGCAUAGAGUUGACUUGAGUACCCUUGUUUCUAGUCAAAGUUGCUAGCUUGAAUAUGGCUUACUUGACAUCUAGAAGAUAAAAUUGAUACCUUAGCCUAGUUUGGGGCAUAGUUUUCCUAAUUAUGGAAAGUGAGGUUUAGAAGUGGGAUCGUCUGGCCCAUUUAGGCCUAAACUUAUGUUAAGUAUUAUGGACUUAAUUGCGGAUGUUAGACAUAGAUGAGGGUAGUAAACCUUAGAACAAGGUUACUUGAUAACUUGGUAACUUUUAUUGAUGUUCCCAGAUUGUGGCUUUUGAGUUAUAGUUAUGAUACUUCCUAUGGAUGUGAUAUUGGGCAUUUAGAGAUGCUAUUUCCUCUUAGACUUGAUGAUUGACCCAUAGAGUUGCUAUUUUCUUUAGUCAUGAUUAUUGGACCACUAGAGACAAUGUUCCUCUUAGAUAUGCAAAUUGGCCGAGAGAGGUGAUAUUCCUCAUAGUCAUGAUGUAUGUGACCUAUCGAUAUAAGAUAUCCUAUAGACGAUUACAUGUGUCAUCUAUAUUAUACCUCCAAUAUGUGAGAUACUUUCUAUAUGUGAGACUAUUAGAGAUAUGCUAUGGCUUAUAAAUAUGAUUAUCGAUAUGAGUUUUGGAUAUGUAUAUGGGCCUAAGGCCGUGAUUAUAAUGUUGUGACUAUCCGAAUAAAUUAAUGGGACAAGAACUGGGUUAUGAUAAUGAUUGAAUAUCCGAGGAAUGUUUACCAAUGUAAAUGAUAGGACUACAGUUUAUGAAUACAUAUAUUUUUGUAUACACAUAUCUUUGGUAUGGGAUGGUGGAAUAUACAGUAUGUUAAUUACGACUUUAUUGAUUGUAUACUGGUUAUGGCAUGCAUAGAUUUGGUACAUUCAUGAUUAUUAUUUCGGUAAUUGAUGUGAUUGUAACUGAAAUAUGAUCUUACAAUUGUUCUGCCUAAUUAACGGCUAAGCUAUGUGGGAACUAGUUGUCUAUUAGGGGACUAUUGCUCUUGAUGGCUAGGAAUCUAAUGUAUUAGUUAAUGAAUCUUGCUUAAUUGAAACAUGGUAGCUAGAGAUGGUUAAUGCGUGACUUAUAGUGGGUCGGGUCUAGCAGAGGUGAAAAUUAGUUGGUAUUGAUAACUAAGUUUGUGAUAUUGAUUAGUCGAUAAACAAGGUGUUGUGUGUUAAUGAGGCAAGAUGAUAAGAGAUGUUGGUAAUAAGAGGUGACUAGUUAAUAACUUUGAAUAGUUACUAAAUGGUUAACUAAUUAAUAGUUAAGCAAGGAUUGUUGGUAAACGAUAAUUAGAUAAUGAAUAGUGUCAGUUAAUAAAAGAUAGUUAGGUGACAAGUAGUAAUGCAUUGUCUUGUAAUGAUUACUGGAUAUAGGAUGAUUAGUAGAUAAUAAUGAAUGAUGGAUAAAUGAAGAUUUUGGUCUAGUGAUGAACCUUGACUAGAUGUUAGAUGCUGGCUAUUAAAUAAGUAGUGGUUAGUUGCUAUCCCAUGAACAAGGAUAACGUGGAGGAUAAUGUUUAGUCUAAUAACUAGAGGUUAUGUGAUGACUAGAUAAUGUUUAUAGGCGCGUCUUUUGGUUAUGCAAUGACUAGCGAACUAGUGAUUCUAUUAUAAUGAGUAUUGGUUAGCUAAUAACGAGUAGUUGAGAAGUAUUGACUAGAUAGAUAUUCUAUGAUGAUAUGACUAUUUUUAUGAGUAUUUUAGUGUAUAUUAUUUGGUAAUGACUAUUAUGAUGAUAUGUUGAUUACCGAAAAGGCUGGAGGACACUAUUAUGAUAAUAUGUUGAUACCUGUCAAGGCCAGAGAAUACUAUUGUGACGAUAUUGAUAUCCGACAAGACCGGAGGACACUGUUGUGAUGAUGUUGAUACCUAGAAAGGCUGAAGAAUACUAUUGAUGAUGUGUUGAUAUUCGGCAAAGUCGGAGGUUGAUUACGAUGAUGAUGGUCCUGAUGAAGAUAGUUAUGAUGAGUUGUGAUACUGGUUGUGUACUUUGCCUUUAUUCCUACAUGUGCAUCGCAUAUCACUAGUAUGCACCUAUAUUUAUCAGCCGGUAUAGGAUGGUUGCAUAUAUAUGAGUGAAGAAUAUUUCUUGUGUUUUUGUAUACUAAUUAAACCUUUUGAGUCUGGGGCGGUGGGGGUACGCAUAGGCUCGGCUAAAUAUUUGGUUGUCCGUAAGUUGAGUGCUAAGGAGAUUGCAUCUGUGAAGGUCCAGAAGAAGAAUCUUCCUAUUGAGGAGGUCACUUUUUGCUGAUUCAAGUAAUUCCUUAGUACUUUCCUUGUCGCUUGUUUGUCAUUAGGGGACAAACGAUUGUUUAAUUAGUAUCUGAUGUAACGACCCUCCCGGUCGUUUGUGAAAUACUUACAUCUUUCUUAUUAGCUCUUCUUUUAGUUUCUAUACGUAAUUUAUGACUUACAGAGAUAGAUAGUACCGAUUCUUGAUGUGUUCCAGGUGAUUAAGUCCUUUGUUGAGUAUUUUAGAUAAUUAAUUUAAUUAGUGAUUUAAUGAGUUCAAAACUCAUAAUUUAACUACUUAUGGG
rnacentral:lncRNA from 1 species